rnacentral:rRNA from 1 species
UAACAGUGAGAAAUCAUUGCUAAUACCGCAUAUGCCAUGAACAUCACAUGAUGAAAAUGGGAAAAGAGUAAUCUGCUAGUAGAUGGGCUCGCGUCUGAUUAGAUAGUUGGUGGGGUAACGGCCUACCAAGUCGACGAUCAGUAGCCGGACUGAGAGGUUGAACGGCCACAUUGGGACUGAGAUACGGCCCAGACUCCUACGGGAGGCAGCAGUCGGGAAUAUUGCGCAAUGGAGGAAACUCUGACGCAGUGACGCCGCGUAUAGGAAGAAGGUUUUCGGAUUGUAAACUAUUGUCGUUAGGGAAGAUACAAGACAGUACCUAAGGAGGAAGCUCCGGCUAACUACGUGCCAGCAGCCGCGGUAAUACGUAGGGAGCAAGCGUUAUCCGGAUUUAUUGGGUGUAAAGGGUGCGUAGACGGGACAACAAGUUAGUUGUGAAAUCCCUCGGCUUAACUGAGGAACUGCAACUAAAACUAUUGUUCUUGAGUGUUGGAGAGGAAAGUGGAAUUCCUAGUGUAGCGGUGAAAUGCGUAGAUAUUAGGAGGAACACCGGUGGCGAAGGCGACUUUCUGGACAAUAACUGACGUUGAGGCACGAAAGUGUGGGGAGCAAACAGGAUUAGAUACCCUGGUAGUCCACACCGU